rnacentral:rRNA from 1 species
CUGGCGGCAUGCCUUACACAUGCAAGUCGAACGGCAGCACGGGAGCUUGCUCCUGGUGGCGAGUGGCGAACGGGUGAGUAAAGUAUCGGAACAUGCCCUGAAGUGGGGAUAACGUAGCGAAAGUUACGCUAAUACCGCAUAUUCUGUGAGCAGGAAAGCAGGGGAUCGCAAGACCUUGCGCUGAUUGAGCGGCCGAUAUCAGAUUAGCUAGUUGGUGAGGUAAAGGCUCACCAAGGCGACGAUCUGUAGCGGGUCUGAGAGGAUGAUCCGCCACACUGGAACUGAGACACGGUCCAGACUCCUACGGGAGGCAGCAGUGGGGAAUUUUGGACAAUGGGCGCAAGCCUGAUCCAGCCAUGCCGCGUGAGUGAAGAAGGCCUUCGGGUUGUAAAGCUCUUUCGGCCGGGAAGAAAUCGCACAGGUUAAUACCCUGUGUGGAUGACGGUACCGGAAUAAGAAGCACCGGCUAACUACGUG